rnacentral:lncRNA from 1 species
UCUUUGUUCUUGUUCUUUCGUUCAAUCUCAAGGCUAACCCGAGGGUAUCGCCUCAUUAACUCACCAACUCAAAAUCCAUGAUCGCGGGCCCUCAGCUUCCUCCCGCUAGGACCGUCCUCUGGGGAACAGCACCAACCCAGUGAUGACAAACUCCGGAGCGCAUCGCCCGAGGGGGAGCGACCACCCUCGAGCAAGGACUUAUAGCAAGUAUGAUCAAUCCUUAACUCUAAGGAUAUUCAGUUCAAUCUGUUCCUUAACUCUAAGGAAUUUAUGCACAAAUAACCCUUAGCUUUAAGGUUGAAUGUCAUUGUGUCAAUCUCAUGUACUUUGCAUUCGUUAUCUUCGACCAUGUCAAUACACUAACUCUAGUGUUCUCUACGUUCUUUACUUUCAUCAUGUCUUUACACUAACUCUAGUGUUCUUUAUGCCACACAUUUAAUGCUAUCUCUAGCCAUUGUUCUUUAUGCCACAUUUUGUCGCUAAUUCUAGCAAUUGUCAUUCUUUGAUGCCACACAUUUGCUAACUCUAGCUUUUACC